ensembl:lncRNA
AUGCUGCCAAGGAGCAAAAACCUGAAAUGGGCUCACAGCCUCAACGGAAGCCAGCUGAUUUACAGCGGCUCUGACCAGGAAGAUGACUGUGGGAAUGAAGACACGGCGGGUUCAAGCUGGGAACAAGAGAGGCAUGAAAUGGAGGAAGAGGAGCCAGUUUGUAGAGAGGGUAAUUUAGAAAGGAAAAACAGAGCGAAAGCAGUAGAUGUGAGAGGCAAGCGACAGGAGCAGCUUGGUAUUUACACACCUGAAGCUGGGAAAUGAAGAUGGCAGGCCACCCCUAGGAGAAAUCACGUCAGAUACGGUCCCCUUCCACAAGACCAACCUACUGGAGGAAUAAGGACACUGAUUCAUACACCUGCAUCAUGGUAGGACUGAACCUUUAUUAUUGCUGCUGCAGCGCACAGUGAAGCUAGUUGGACUUCUAAAGGACUUAACAAAAGGACUAAAAAGUGAGAGUUGUGAAAUUUGUGUUUUUCAUCACAUAUUGAUCUGUACAAUUGUUUUGAGUUUUGUGUUUUGAUUCUCUAUUACAUGGUAUUUUAUUUUAAUUUUAUUUGUGCAGAAUUGGUGAUACAAAUGUGUUUUUCUGUUACUGUAAACUCAAAACUGGUGUACUGCUUAAAUAAACUAACAAGAGAGUAGAACUAAACUCUAAAAAAUAGGCUAACUCGGAUAAAAUGAGAACUUAGAACUGAGUCAACUUAAAGAGAAAUGAGAUACUAAAUAACAACUUAAAGGACCCUCAGUUGAAAAUGAUCUAUGAACUCAAAUACGUUUAAUCCAAACCAAAGCAAGAUAAAAUAGGGAGAAGUACUUAUUUUUCUGUAAUUUGGGUAUAUUUUGGAUGUUUUCAAGGAAUUUGAUGUGUUUGUAUAUGAGGUGUGUUAUUUGGUGCCAUUUUGUGUAUGUCUACUACUAAUCUCUUCUACAUAAAUAAGCCGGCAGUUCAAACAUUAUUCCUGGGUUAUAAACUGCUCCUAUGAACUUAGACUCUGGUCCUAGCUAUGUGUAAUAUCUACAGUGCUACGUCAGUCUCCUUGCUGGUUGUUCAGAAUCAUUACUGCUUUUUCCUUUAUCGUUUAAAAGGUGGCUGUUAAAUUAUAUAUAUUUAAAUAAUUAAAUUAAUAUAAAAACUGUGCAAUGACUGGUCGACUGUUGGCUUUAACUAACAACCUUUAGUCGACUAGGAAAAUCUUUUAUUGGGGCAGCCCUACUUCCUCACUACUUUCGUUCCAAAAAAACAAUGGAGAAUUUGCUUUAGGGGUGAUCCAGACCCCUUAAGUUCCUUGGUGGUUUGCAUUCAGUGUUCUGUCUAUUCUGCCAAGAUCACAUUAUCCUCAUAGAUUAAUGUUAACUUGCAGUUUCCAUAUGGUCAGUGAUGUAUUGUCCUAUAUAUUGUGAUGCUUCAUGACUUAGUUCAAAUGUGGUUCACAUAUUGCAAGCUGUUGUCAUGCUUUUGGUCGACAUCCAAACCCUUUCCCAAUCAUCAAAACCAGAUUCUGCUGAAUCAUGUCUUCUUCGUCCCUCAAGACUCUGCUAAUUUCAUAAGUGUGAAAUUGAGAUUCAGCAGAUCUUGAUUCAUAGGCCAACUCGUUGCUCUUUCCCUCUAGAGUUUCAGCUAAGUGUAAAGGAAAUCUUCAAUUAUUAGCACAGGCUGUAUCGCUGCACACUGUUAUAUUAAUUUAAAGAAAGGUUUCUGCUAUUGUGUGUUAAACUGCUGUUUCCCAUUGUGUCAUUGCUACGUGUUAUAUUUAAGAUUAUAUAAUUACAGAAUAAGGAUACAUUUAUGUUAGAUAGGCCUAUAGGAUAAGAUCAAAAUUCAAAAUGUUUGACUACUACAAGUUAGAUAUUGCUUGAUAUACAGUCCCUAGCCUAUAAUCAUAACUCCAACGCACAACACAUUAGUGUCUGUUCGACAAGAGACAAGUAUUGACUUUCAUUUCAUGAUGAUUAAUGGUUACAAUUAAUGAUUAAUGAUUCCAAUUAAUCAGUGCAAUUAAAAACCUUCACAUGAAGUGAAACUGUAGAGCCCAGCCAGUUAAAAUUAAAACUUGCUGUUUAAAAAUACAUAAAUGCCAGAAUCUGUACGUUGUGCUCAAUAGUUGAUAUACUGAGAUUAAAAUGAUCCCCAUCGCACACAAGUCAUCACCAUAUACACAGUCAAGGUAAAGAUCCAUAAAUUGAUUUCUAACUAUGUAAAAUUGACUGUCUGGCACUUGGAGCGUGGCAGUGCACACUGGCUAUUACUCACUGGUGGAUUUUGUAUGCGCAAGCGUGCCUGUGCAAUUACAAAGCAAGCCCAUAAAUUAGUCGCUGAAUCUGUCUUAAAUCAUGAGGGAAUGCAUCAAAUACUAUCUCUCCCCAUCCAGACGGGUGUCUACAUUGUAAUAAGAACUGGAAUACUGUAGUUGUGAGUGUGACAACAGAUAAUCGGCAGUCCCCCGAGGCGAAAGUAAGAUGAUUCUUUGGGAGUGGGAGGGAAGUGAACUUCACUGUUUCAGUAAGUGAUUUUUCUCUCUGUAGAAGCCUGGAGAUAUAGGAAUUUAUAGCUGUGUUUUGACACCUUAAACCCAUAAUAUUUUAAUUGAUUUUAGUCCUUAUUUGCCAUACCUGGUUAGAUUGUGUUGAAACAAUUUGAAGAGAUCAAGAGUAUUAGGGUCCAGAGCCAGGUUAUGUGAUUCCUUUAAGUCAUGCAGAGGCACACGGUGUGCCCAAUCAAGAUAGG